GUGUCAGCAGCCGCGGUAAUACGAACUGUGCGAACGUUAUUCGGAAUCACUGGGCUUAAAGGGUGCGUAGGCGGCGUGCUAAGUCAGGUGUGAAAGCCCCCGGCUCAACCGGGGAACAGCGCUUGAAACUAGCAGGCUUGAGUGAGGCAGGGGUGUACGGAACUUCCAGUGGAGCGGUGAAAUGUGUAGAUAUUGGAAGGAACGCCGGCGGCGAAAGCGGUACACUGGGCCUUGUCUGACGCUGAGGCACGAAAGCUAGGGGAGUGAACGGGAUUAGAUACCCCGGUAAUCCUAGCCGUAAACACUGAGCACUGGAGGGGGGCGGUUUCGGCCUUCCCCCUCGUAGCGAAAGCGUUAAGUGCUCCGCCUGGGGAGUAUGGUCGCAAGGCUGAAACUCAAAUGAAUUGACGG
rnacentral:rRNA from 1 species